UACGUAGGGUGCAAGCGUUGUCCGGAAUUAUUGGGCGUAAAGAGCUCGUAGGCGGUCUGUCGCGUCGGCUGUGAAAACUCGGGGCUCAACUCCGAGCUUGCAGUCGAUACGGGCAGGCUAGAGUUCGGUAGGGGAGACUGGAAUUCCUGGUGUAGCGGUGAAAUGCGCAGAUAUCAGGAGGAACACCGGUGGCGAAGGCGGGUCUCUGGGCCGAUACUGACGCUGAGGAGCGAAAGCGUGGGGGAGCGAACAGG
rnacentral:rRNA from 1 species